rnacentral:rRNA from 1 species
UACGGAGGGUCCAAGCGUUGUCCGGAAUCACUGGGUGUAAAGGGUGCGUAGGCGGACUCGUAAGUCAGGGGUGAAAGCCCGCGGCUCAACCGCGGAACUGCCUCUGAUACUGCGAGCCUUGAGUCCUGGAGGGGCUGGCGGAAUUCGUGGUGUAGCGGUGAAAUGCGUAGAUAUCAAGAGGAACACCUGAGGUGAAGACGGGUUGCUGGGCCGACACUGACGCUGAGUGCGCGAAAGCCAGGGGAGCAAACGGG